UCCCUGGUGGCUCAUACUGUAAAAGCACUUGUUUGCAAUGCAGGAGACCCAGGUUCGAUCCCUGGGUUGGGAA
rfam:Ovis aries breed Texel chromosome 7, whole genome shotgun sequence.